UUCAAUACUGCCGUUAAACGCAGUGUGCACUUUUCCCUUAGUAAGACGUUGUGAUCUAUUAGAAAUUGGACCAUUCCAAUGGUUAUUGGGCUAUCAAUAGGCUCUCAUAAAGUUCUUCGAUGCAAAUGACUCGAUCUUUAAUGGUUGUCGGUGUAUUGCUCGUUGAGUGUGAGAUGUCCUGUAAUAGCUGUCUGAUAGAUUUUAAAGGCCAUAUUACUAAUGUCGCAAGACAUUACCCUACUUGGGAGUUUGAUAUGUGCCCGAUCAACAACGGUUAAAUUUGGGAUACCUUUGGGACCCGUCUUGAAACACGGACCAAGGAGUCUAUCUAGUAUGCAAGUAAAUGGGUAUAUGAAACCUAUUUGCGUAAAUAACUUGACUGUUAUGGGAUUACAAGUGUAGCGCGCGUAAGCGUGUUUACUUUUCCAUCCCGGGGCAUUUUCAUCAACAUAUGCAGCAAUGUAUAUGGGAAAUGUACCAUGAGCAUACUGGAUAUGACCCGAAAGAUGGUGAACUAUGCCUGAUCAGGUUGAAGUCAGGGGAAACCCUGAUGGAGGACCGAAGCAAUUCUGACGUGCAAAUCG
rnacentral:rRNA from 1 species